rnacentral:lncRNA from 1 species
GGUAAAACUUCUUCUGUUUCAGAUUCUGCAGAGGAAAAUGGAAACGAAGGAGGUAUACCUGGUUUUGUGCCGGGCCUGGCACCUCCCAAAAUCCCAGAUGGAGAAAUAGUAGACUUUGAUGACAUUCACAGGAAACGAAUGGAGAAAGAUCUGAUAGAACUUCAGUCGCUGAUUGAAUCACACUUUGAGAAACGCAAGAAGGAGGAAGAGGAGCUCAUCAGUCUCACAGACCGUAUUGAGAAACGCAGGUCAGAAAGAGCUGAGCAGAUGAAGAUCAGGGCAGAGAGGGAAAGGGAACGGCACAACAAACAAGCUGAAGAGAAGGCCAGAAAAGAGGAAGAAGAAGCUAAAAAGAAGGCAAAUGAUGAUGCAAGAAAGAAGAUGAUUCUAUCCAACUUAACUUUUACUGGAUACAAGACACAGGGUGAGACAAAGAAACCAACAGAAAGAGAAAAGAAGAAGAAGAUCCUAAAUGAUCGGCGCAAGGAGCUCAACGUUGAACACAUGAAAGAAGACCAACUCAGAGAAAAAGCAAAGGAGCUUUGGGACUGGAUUCGACAGCUGGAGGCAGAGAAAUAUGAACUUCAAUCUAAACAGACAAAGCAAAAGUACGAGGUAAAAUCCACUGAAAAAUCAGUUUAG